AACUUAUGAGUUUGCAUAUAAGCUAUUACAAGUCAUAUAAUCGAUCCUAUUCUACCCGAUUCACCACCACCCAUCUUCCCGACCAUGAGUCUCUCGCGCCUAAGCCAUAUCCUUCCCACGAUCACCAUCCUUCCCUGAAACCAACAAGACAUAAGUACACGUCUUUUACUUAGUGGAUGCAAGUCCAUGCAACGCACUAUACGUUCUUAUAAUCCUUUGGUCCGGAAAACGGAUCGGAGAGAGGAAGUAAGCGCAUCAGUUCGGCCUAGAACCGGUAGAUCCUUGCGGAUCCGCCGAUUCCUUGCCGAGCCGCCUCCCCGUCUCAACCAAACCGUUACUCCUCCCAAAGUAUGCACGAUAUGAAUAUGCUCAUGAAUGACUAGGCCGAUCAACGAACUAAUCAAGCAACCCACAAUAUCCUAGCCCUUAUACCAUCCGCACGUCCAGAGAUCGUAAUCUCCGAGGCAUUACCACGGCUUUACACCCACCUUGACUACACGGAUUCGAUCGGUGAAUGAUCCGUGUUGCCUCUCUUGAUCGCCGAUAGAACGCUCGGCUCCGCAAACUCUCCUUUUAACCGUAUUCCUCUCGGCAAAUGCCUUAGAGUUUCCUCUGGAUUUUUAGGUGUUUGAGCGUGUCCGAAAAAUGAAGGAAUCGCCUUCUAUUUAUAGUGUUUACGGAUAAAACCGUUUUUCCCAAAGGUGCCCGUUCGGUGGGAACGCUUGUUCGCAUAUAUUCGUUGAAACCGCUCAUUCAUGCAUGUUUGAGUAACCGUUCGUCCGUGUCUGUUCGGCCAACGUACGUAACCGUCAACCCAACCGCCUUACUACCUUCCCACCCGACCAGCUGACCUAGCUAGACUGUCACUCGACCAGCUGACCUUCACUCCGUCCAGCUUAGGUGAGCUACCAAUCAGCUGGUCCAGCUAGUCGAGCUGGUUAGCUCAACACUUCUAGCUCGUUUCAGCUUGUUAAGCACUUGGGAAGCCAUUCUAUCCGCUUCCCUUAGACUUAGCCCGAGGUUUCCACACUUCCCUCGAACCAAGUCUUCCCCGGCGAUCCUAUUGAGGAUCGCGGGUGUUACAAGUCUCCCCCCCUUGAAUGGGAUUCGUCCCCGAAUCCGACUUAAGUGGAUCUUCAUCCAUCUCCUUAAACCACUUAGGAAAAUCGGCCUUCAUCUUAUUCUCCGUUUCCCAAGUAGAUUCUUCGCGGCCACCGCAAUCCCACAAAACUUUUAUCAUGGUUAUCCAUUUCCUCCGAGUUCCCUUCUCCAUUCGAUCCAUGAUUCGAAUUGGUCUUGCUUUCACCGUUAGGUUUUCUUUUAACAAGGAAGGAAUAUCUUCGACACGCUCCUCGUGUUCGCUUAGACAUUUCCGAAGUUGUGAUACAUGGAAGACCUUGUGGAAUGCAUCCAACUUUGGUGGUAGUUGGAGUUUGUACGCCACAGCCCCUACCCUUUCGAUCACCUUGUAUGGACCAACGUACCUUGGACUCAAUUUCUUCCUUUUAGUAAAUCGCCCUUUUCCCUUAUAAGUCACCGCCUUAAGAUAUACCAAAUCUGCCACUUGGAACUCCAACUCUUUUCGACGCUUAUCCGCAUAACUUUUUUGUCGGUUUUAGGCUUCCUUUAGUUUUAUCUUAAGGAACUUCAUCUUUUCGGUGGUUUCAUCCACAAUCUUCGGACCGAACAGCAUACGUUCGCCCACCGGUGUCCAACAUAGCGGCGUCCGACAUGCUCGGCCGUACAACGCUUCGUAAGGCGACAUACCAAUACUAGCUUGAUAGCUAUUAUUGUACGCGAACUCCACCAACCUUAAGUACUUUUCCCAAUUCCCACCCCAAUCCAAGACGCAUGCACGUAACAUGUCCUCAAGGGUUUGAAUCGUUUGCUCGGAUUGUCCGUCCGUUUGUGGAUGGUAAGCUGUGCUCAAGUUCACCCGCGUCCCCAAGGCUUUUUGGAAAGCCUUCCAGAAAUGCGACGUGAAACGUGUAUCCCGAUCCGACACAAUGCUUACCGGAACCCCAUGUAACCGGACUAUCUCGUCUAUGUACGUUGCUGCGAUCUCCUCGGCUCCAUCCGUUUUUGAAAUUGCCAUAAAAUGCGCGGACUUUGUUAGUCUGUCCACCACAACCCAAACCGCAUUGUGUUUAGACUUGAUCCCCAUAGGUAACCCGGUAACAAAGUCCAUUGUUACAUAGUCCCACUUCCAUUCCGGCAUAGGUAGAUUUUGCACCAAUCCACUCGGAACUUGGUGUUCCGCCUUGACUAGUUGGCACGUCGAACACUUAGCAACCCAUGCCGCUAUGUCCUUCUUCAUUCCAACCCAAUGGUAGUAUCGUUUCAAGUCUCGGUACAUUUUACUCGAUCCGGGGUGGAUCGAGAACUUCGAUUGGUGCGCCUCUUUGAGGAUUUCUUCCUUCAACUCCUUAUCGUUUGGCACGCAUACCCGACCAUUCACCACAAUCGUACCAUUAUUAGACGUUUGGUAUUCCGUCUUAUCGUUCCUUGCCCAAUCGUUUAUCUCCUUGUCUUUCUCUUGAGCCAAACGAAUUCUACUAAGUAGAUCGGUUUGAUCGGCCGCACCUAAUCCUAAUGGCUCAUAAUCCUUAGACAAUGCAUUUAAAUGCAAAGUUCCCAUCAUGUUGACCAAAGCCUCUUGGUUUUUCUCCGCUUCUACUUCAAAACGUCUCCUACUUAAGGCGUCCGCAACUUGAUUUGCUUCCCCCGGGUGAUAUGCAAUAUCUAAGUCGUAAUCCGCCACGAAUUCCAUCCACCUUCUUUGCCUUAGAUUUAACUCCGGCUGGGUGAAUAUGUACUUAAGACUCUUGUGGUCGGUGAAGAUUUGGACUUUAGCUCCGUAAAGAUACGAUCGCCAAAUCUUCAAGGCAAACACCACCGCCGCCAUUUCCAAGUCAUGCGUAGGAUAAUUUCCUUCGUGUUUACGCAAUUGCCUUGAAGCAUAAGCGAUGACACUACCAUUUUGCAUCAAUACGCAUCCUAGUCCCGUGAUCGAUGCAUCCGUAUAGACCAUGUAGGGUUCACCUUCUUCCGGUAGCACCAAUACCGGAGCGCUUGUUAGCAUAGCCUUCAAUUCCGAGAAACUUUUCUCACAUUCCUCCGACCAUUGAAACUUUGUACCCUUUCCGGUUAGCCGGGUCAUCGGUUGCGACAUACUCGCAAAGCCCUUAACGAACCUUCGGUAAUAUCCCGCCAACCCGAGGAAACUUCUUAUCUCAGUGGCAUUCUUCGGUCGUGGCCAAUCCUUAAUAGAUUUUAUCUUCUCCGGAUCGACGGACACUCCUUUAUCCGAAAUAAUAUGUCCGAGGAAUCCAAUACUCCUUUGCCAAAACGAGCACUUGCUUAAUUUUGUAUAUAACUCGUGCUUUCUCAACCGUUCUAACACCGCCCUUAGAUGAUCUUGAUGGGUUUCCCAAUCCUUAGAAUAAACAAGAAUAUCAUCGAUGAAGAUGAUCACAAACUCGUCUAAAAAUUCCUAGAAAACACCAUUCAUCAUCUUCAUAAAGGCUGCCGGUGCAUUGGUUAGUUCAAAUGGCAUGACCACAAAUUCGUAAUGGCCAUACCUUGUCCAAAACGCCGUUUUCCGAAUAUCCAGCGGAUCUAUCGGAAUUUGGUGGUAUCCCGAGGCCAAGUCUAUCUUUGAAAACCACUUGGCACCUCGAAGUUGAUCCAACAACUCAUCUAUUCAAUCCCCGAUAGUCAAUGCAUAGCCUAAAGCUACCAUCCUUUUUCUUUACGAACAAGACCGGUGCACCCCAUGGUGAACUACUCGGUCUAAUGAAUCCUUUAUCCAACAACUCUUCCAAUUGUUUCUUUAGCUCCGCCAUUUCCGCCGGUGCCAUCCGGUACGGAGCUUUAGAUAUAGGAGUUGUUCCUGGUUCGAGUUCAAUAGUGAAUGGAUCGGACCGGUCCGGUGGUAAACCACUCACGGCCUCAAACACAUCCGAGAACUCGUUUGCGAUCGGAAUGUCUUUCAACUCCGCACUCACCCCAACUUCGUGGGUUGUGAUUGUGGCUAUGUAUGCCUCACUCCCUUUCUCUAGCAUCCUUUCCGCUUGGAUUGCCGAGAUUACCAAACUUCCCGAAGUUGUCCUUAUUCCUUGGAAUUUUAACAUUCCUUCCUCCCUCUCGAAUUGAAUCCGUCCUCGAUGACAAUCAAUAUGUGCCUUAUACUUUCCCAACCAAUCCAUACCCAAGAUAACAUCGUGUUUCUUGAGUUGAACAACGAUUAGGUCCGUAGGCAUAUUGACACCGUUAACUACAACCGAGAUGUCCCGAACAAUACCGGACGGGUACAUUGCUUGUCCGCCGGCUGCUCUAACCAUUCCAUAUUCGGUGUUCCGUUCUUUAAUGAACCCACCCUUUUUAACCAUCUCGGAACUCACAAAACAAUGUGUAGCUCCGGAAUCAAAUAAAGUGUGUGUUUCCACAUCACCUAUACUCAAGGUCCCUACACAUUUCCCUAUAGUGCUAAGUACCAAAUCCGUUUAUGCACGAUGAAAUGCAAUGCACGAAUUAAAAUAAAAAGCACAAAGGCUUACCAGUGAUCGCCCUGAAGUUCCCAGCGUUGUUAGCUUCCUCCGACAAUUCGUAAACGCGCAGUGCUAUAGCCUGCCUCUUGGGCGGAGGCGGUAACCCAUUUCCGCUACGGUUUACCCUUUGUCCAGCUUGUCUUUCCGCUUCCAGCUUUGGACAUUCUCUCUUGAAGUGUCCCGCUUUCCCACAGUAGAAGCAAGUCCUUUGCUCAUUCACACUCUCUUUCGGAGUUCCUUGUUUAAUCCGUGGACAGUUUUGAAUACUAUGAUCCUUACUCCCACAACGCACACAUGCACCAACAGCCCUCCAGCAAGUUCCGCUGUGAUUCUUCCCACAAGUAGCGCACUCUCCGCUCUUAGUAUCCGAUUUGGUGUCCUCCACCUUAUCAAAUUUCCUCUUCUUGUCCAUCGGUCUCGUUGGCUGCGAAGGACGCGACGAAAACUUCUCCGGAUUCAUCCGUUUCUCCUCCUGAAGCCCAGCUUCGAUCAUGGCUGCCCUCUCAACCAAUUCGGACACCGAAGUAAAGGUUCAAAUCAAGCAAUGGUUACGGAUCUCGAUCCUUAGUCCUCGGAUGAAACGACGAACUUGAGCUUGUUCAUCCUCGAGUUCUCUCCCCACAUAUCGCCUAAGACGAUUGAACUCUUCGUCAUACUCGCGCACCGUUCGGUUCCCUUGAACCAAAUCCAAGUAGGCGCACUCGAGUCUGUCCCAAGCCUCCGGUGGAAAGAACUUCUUGUUGAAUUCUUCCUCAAAAUCCGCGAAGGAUUGGAUUUGAUCACCUUUCCGUUUCUCGACGGUUAGCCACCAGUUAUGUGCAUCGCCCUCCAAGAAGUGGAUUGCAAUGUCCUUCCGGUAAUCCUCCGGGCAUCGAGUGGAGUUAAAGUUUCUUUUGAGCCGAGUCCUCCACUCAUCCGCCACGAUCGGGUCGGAACUCCCCGUGAAAUGCUUUGUUCCCAACUUCGAGACAUGCGCGAGUAAACUUAAGUAGUCUCCCCGCUUCCUUGAAGAGUUCGUAGGCAGAUUGACUUCAACAGUCUCCACAUCUACGUCUGCAUCCGCGUCCGUUUUGUUCUCCUUCACUAGUACCACAGGAUCCGGUACGAGUGCCUUAGUCAAUGCGGCCAUUUGUGCCAUCAUUGCCUUCAUCGUAUCCCAUUGUUCUUGGGCCGAUGGAAGUGUAUUCGGUGCCUCUUUUUCCUCCGUUGCAUCACUACUCUCCGGAGUUUUGUGAACCGGAAGUUUCUGUCCAGCCUCAGGUCCGGCCGGGUUUAUUCCAUCCAUCGUUGCUUCGACCCUUGUUUUCUCAGUGACCCGCGUCUCCUCGGCGGUCAAGGUCUCCUCAACGACGUCCUUAUCCUUCUUACUCUUUCCCUUCUUGUCUUUCUUACCCAUUUGCGAAAACUCACAAGUUAGUCAUAUAACUCAAAGUAAUCGUUUAGAGAGAAAGAACAUCUACCGCGAGAUCUCAUUAAGCCGAUGAGUGGUGAUCCCCAAACCCAAAACUCAUAGUCCUAGAACCGUAAAUGCUCUGAUACCAACUUGAAAGACCCCAACCCGGACUCCCUAAGCCCGGAGAGGUUCUUCCCGAACGGAUCACUAAGUGGUCCGAUCCUUAGCCAAAUUUUAGGGUUCAUUCCUUAAGACAAUCUGUUUCAUAUUAUUCCGCGAUUCAUUAUUUAGAGUCAUUAUGCAACCUUAGAGUAAAACAAACGAUCGGAUACUUUAUUAGAUAAGUAAAGGAUUCGAUACAACUUAUGAGUUUGCAUAUAAGCUAUUACAAGUCAUAUAAUCGAUCCUAUUCUACCCGAUUCACCACCACCCAUCUUCCCGACCAUGAGUCUCUCGCGCCUAAGCCAUAUCCUUCCCACGAUCACCAUCCUUCUCUGAAACCAACAAGACAUAAGUACACGUCUUUUACUUAGUGGAUGCAAGUCCAUGCAAUGCACUAUACGUUCUAAUAAUCCUUUGGUCCGGAAAACGGAUCGGAGAGAGGAAGUAAGCGCAUCAGUUCGGCCUAGAACCGGUAGAUCCUCGCGGAUCCGCCGAUUCCUUGCCGAGCCGCCUCCCCGUCUCAACCAAACCGUUACUCCUCCCAAAGUAUGCACGAUAUGAAUAUGCUCAUGAAUGACUAGGCCGAUCAACGAACUAAUCAAGCAACCCACAAUAUCCUAGCCCUUAUACCAUCCGCACGUCCGGAGAUCGUAAUCUCCGAGGCAUUACCACGGCUUUACACCCACCUUGACUACACGGAUUCGAUCGGUGAAUGAUCCGUGUUGCCUCUCUUGAUCGCCGAUAGAACGCUCGGCUCCGCAAACUCUCCUUUUAACCGUAUUCCUCUCGGCAAAUGCCUUAGUUUCCUCUGGAUUUUUAGGUGUUUGAGCGUGUCCGAAAAAUGAAGGAAUCGCCUUCUAUU
rnacentral:lncRNA from 1 species